CAGUAGCCGCGGUAAUACGUAGGGUGCGAGCGUUAAUCGGAAUUACUGGGCGUAAAGCGUGCGCAGGCGGUUUUGUAAGACAGGCGUGAAAUCCCCGGGCUCAACCUGGGAAUGGCGCUUGUGACUGCAAAGCUAGAGUGCGGCAGAGGGGGAUGGAAUUCCGCGUGUAGCAGUGAAAUGCGUAGAGAUCAGGAGGAACACCGAUGGCGAAGGCAGCCCCCUGGGCCUGUACUGACGCUCAUGCACGAAAGCUAGGGGAGCAAAUGGGAUUAGAUACCCCUGUAGUCCCUGUCUCUUAUAC
rnacentral:rRNA from 1 species